rfam:Solenopsis invicta Si_gnG.contig88285, whole genome shotgun sequence.
AAAGCUUCUGAUUAAUAAAGCGUGCUUAAUCUGUUCUUAUCAGCUUAAUAUCUGAUACAGUCCCCAUAGGGGACUCAGAAUAUUAAACUGAUUUUUGGAGCCGGGUGGGUGUCCGGAGCUUGCUCCGACCCCGCCGCGGGUCGACUGGGCAUUGCAGUGCCGUCCAGUUCGUCCCAGUGAGU